UGGGGAAUCUUGGACAAUGGGGGCAACCCUGAUCCAGCCAUGCCGCGUGAGUGAUGAAGGCCUUAGGGUCGUAAAGCUCUUUCGCCUGUGAAGAUAAUGACGGUAGCAGGUAAAGAAACCCCGGCUAACUCCGUGCCAGCAGCCGCGGUAAUACGGAGGGGGUUAGCGUUGUUCGGAAUUACUGGGCGUAAAGCGCACGUAGGCGGAUCAGAAAGUUGGGGGUGAAAUCCCGGGGGCUCAACCCCGGAACUGCCUCCAAAACUCCUGGUCUAGAGUUCGAGAGAGGUGAGUGGAAUUCCGAGUGUAGAGGUGAAAUUCGUAGAUAUUAGGUGGAACACCAGUGGCGAAGGCGCCUAACUGGUCCGGUACUGACGCUGAGGAACGAAAGCGUGGGGAGCAAACAGGAUUAGAUACCCUGGUAGUCCACGCCGUAAACGAUGAGUGCUAGUCGUCGGCAGGCAUGCCUGUCGGUGACGCAGCUAACGCAUUAAGCACUCCGCCUGGGGAGUACGGCCGC
rnacentral:rRNA from 1 species